ensembl:lncRNA
GUAUUUGCCCCUCUGUGGAGAGCGAGUAGGCUCGAGGAUAUUUAGUGACUCGAAGGACUGUCAUUUUCCUGAUGCCGCCCCUGCACCUCAAACGCCGAAAUGUGGACUUUCAAAGGCGCAAGCGAUGACUGGCGGUCGGGGGGAUAGGGAGCAGCGUCUCCCGACAGUAAACAGAUGCUGACCAGCAGAUCACCAUGAAUGGGCUGCCCCCCUUCCAAGGGUUUCAGCUCUCGCAGGGAUCUACAGUACGUUCUGUGAAGGGUCUGAGCAAGUGUGUGCGUGCGUGUCUGUGUGUGUGUGUGUGUGUGUGUGUGUGGACGUGAAGGUUUUCCCUCUGUAGUGUCAACCUCCCAGAGAGAGGAUCAAGUGCUAAGCGGCGGGACUCAGGAGCUCAGUGACCAGUGUGUAUGUGUGUCUCCAGAAGCCCACAUUUGCGGUUUUAGGGAUUGAGGAAGUGAUAUAUCCUGUUAUCUGUUACCACGGAUGACCACAAGCCUGACCGGCGUUGGCCCUGCAUGGCUUAAUCCGCACUCUCAAAGGACAGAUCCCUGUGUGUGUGUGUGUGUUUGGAUAUACAGAGUGGCAGGGGACCUUUCUCCCAGGGUUGAAAGGUCAAACUCGAAUGUGGGGGUCAGUGAGCUGCCCGGCGAGCAGAACUGAAGCGCUACGCACAACAAAGACACACAAGUAUGUCUUUGUGUGUGUGUGAGGUAAAUGAAAAAAAAAAUUAAACGAUUAUAAACACUGUGUCAACUUUACAGAAAAUUGCUUUUCCUUGUGUUAUGUUAAUAGAACAUAUCAGAACAUAACUCAGUCCCAACUGUGGCGGUUAUUUUGAGGCGGUGUGAUCUGAACUACCAAUGAACUGUCAUGGAAAAGGUGUGUCCGGUUGACUGUGGCUAUUGUUUUGAACUAAGGAAAGGGAAACCAGACCGUAUUUUAUUUUUUCUUAAUUUUACUUUUAUAUACAAUCCAAAUAAAAAAACAAUUGCACUUCAUUAUUUACCUUUUGCACAUGUUUUUACAUUUUUGUCUUGUACUUGAUACAAUUAUACCGAUUACCAUUUCACAAAGAAAUGUCAUAAUAAGAAGGAUAAUAAGCAAAAAUAAGUAUAAAUAUAUAUAUAUAUAUAAUAUCGACAUAGAAUAAUAUAUUUGUUGUCUAAAUGAAGAAGGUUCAUUUUUUGAAGUUUUACCCUUUAAACAAAAUGAUGAGGUUUUGUGAUGACAUUAAAUAAAAAUAAUUUACUCGCACAUCACCUAUCAGAUAAUCUCACACACGCGCACAAACACGCCGAUCUACGUCAGCCAUCAGUUUGUCCGACAGACACAUAAAUGUACAUCUUUGCAUUCACGUACCAACUACAUCCCUUACAUCACACGUCAAGAUUCACAAACACAUUGGCUCACUCAGUCAGUCAGACACACACGCACAAUACAUCACACAUCAGUUCCAUGUUUUAGGCUGAAGGGAAGGGUGGUUGUCGGGGGCGGGCGGGCUUUGACAAGGGAGCGGAGGAAGUACACAGGAAGUACAUUAGUUAUCACUCCCAUGUCUUCUCCACCUUUUCGCUUCUCAUCACCGCCCGAUGUCUCAGACCUCCGUCUCCUUCUCGUCCUGCCCCUUUUCUUUUUCUCACACCCACACACACACACACGCACACACAAACACAAGCACACAUACACCUAUAAAAAAAUGACUUCUGCUCUCCAUUUUAGUGUCGGGCCCUGGGAUCUAGAUGAAACUUGGCAAGCUGUGGAAGCCACGAGACAACUGGAUGAAAUAUUUAAAUGAAAGACGGCAGGAGUAGAAAGGGGUCUGUGGGGUGGGGGGGGGGGGUAUAGGACAGAGGACGAGGGAAGGAGAGAGUGACACUGAGCAAAAUGUGAAGGGUUUUCUUUUCUUGGCAAUUCGAGGGCCAUCAAACGAGAGGUGCAGAUUAAUUGUCUUUCACCUAAGAAGGAGCCUGAAGAGAAAUGUACAGUAUAAAAUCACGUUGUCCUGGAAUAAUCACAACUUUUAUACAUAAAAUGAUCACAACCUUUUGGUUUUACAUGGAACACAAAUGGGUGAAAGUUUUGCAUUGUAGGAUUAUCAUUUUAGUUGAAUAAUUGCGGACUCUUGCAACGGGUCUGACCCUAACUCAGAAGCGCUUAUAACAAAGUCUGUAUGGUUUAAACUCAUCAACUUCUGCUCACACACAGAAUAACUACAAUCAGAGCCAAGACACUGGCAGUGAUGAACCAAGCAUGCCUGGCUAGACAACUAUAGAUGUACAUUUAUGAACAGAAAAAAGACCAAAAGAGAAGCAAAAAGACAGCAGAAAAGGGCAGUUUAAAAAAAAAUUGAACAUAUAGCAAAGGGAGAAAGCAUCAGCAGGAAUUAGACCAUUAAGACUAUUUGGAGACAUUUUCCAUCAUCUUUUACUCUAAUGCUAUUUAAUCAUAUCGUUUAUUGUGUCUGUCCCUAACAAUCUGCUAUUAUAAGCAUCGCUGGUUAUCACAAUUAUUCGGCACAGAGUUGAUGCCAAAAAUUGUGAAAGCACUACAGCACCGCACGUACUGAAGGUACAAAAAAUGUCCUGCCAUCCCAAGGUUGGUGGAGAAAUCCGCCGAUAGUGCUACACUGGGAACAACAAAUCAAGAGCUAGUUGACUUUAGCAGUUAGCAUCCAGCUGACAGCGACGUCCUGCUUGGCUAAAUAACAGAGCUAAUGGCUAACGAACAGAUGUUUCAUUGAGUAACAUUAUGACACGUUGCAACUCUAUUUGGAGAAAACCAUCAUAAUCAUAAUAUGUUGAAAGAAUUGGGGUAAAGAAACUGUGGGCAGAUAAUCAAGAAUUAAUUAAACAUUUCGAAAAACAGAAUACAAACACUACUAAAGACGCAUUGAAGUAAAUUAAUUUGAAGAAACAAUAAAGAAUAACUUCUCGGUGUGCGUGUUUGUGUGUUUAAUCAAUUGCCCACACUUUCCGUACAAGCGCUCGUUUAACUAUUUGCGGUCGCGGGUCAUGUGCACGUUUAACAGUAACAUAACGGCACACGUGUGUGUGGGCUUGUCGCCGUUUAUUUGUAGUCCUUGGUGGAUAUUCAGUACCUGCAUAAUUUCACUCUACUGUGCGUCUUUAAAUGUGCCCACGAGCAUGUGUUUGCAGGAUAAUGUAUGUGUUGUUAUACUGCAUGACUUACUUAUAUGGUCCCCGUCUGCUGAGUCCUGCUUGCAGAGGACUGUGCUCAUUACCAAGUGGGACACCAGGCACGUUAGCUUGACAAGUCAAACUCAAAUGUGCAGUCAAAAAAAAGGAAACGUUUUUUACUGUGUCUUGUAAAAUCAUUAGAAAGAACAUCGAUAAAAAAGGUGAAGAUUUUAUAUGCAGUGUGUAAUUUGUCUUCCACAUGCAGCACUGUUGUGUAUGCAGAAAGGGUGUAGUGAUUGUUUGCGUGUACUCCCUUUUCCAACCGAUGACAACACCACAAAUGAAGUGUUUAUGAAGAUGCUUUCUUAGAUAAAGUUUUUUAGAGCAACGUCAUAUCCUCUUGAAUAAAUUGAAUGGCACACUACAAGUUAAUUAGACGGGAGAAAAUGUUUACAUUCAUAUGGUUUCCAGUUAUUGCAGCAAAAGAAAAAAAAGAAGAAAAAAAACAUGUUCUGCAUGUAGCCAUGAAAAUGCUAAGGUAUUACAAUGCAGUAGUUGAGACCUAAGUGUUACUUCAAAUAAACAUUGUGUUUCCCAGUGCUGGACUUUGUGAGUAAAUGGAACAGAAGGGGUUUGAUUGGGUGCAGAUGUGCGCUCCAGUCUGGGUUUGGUUAGAGUCCCCGCUGCCAGGAAUAUUUGCUACAAUUCAAUAAAUAGAGCUGUUAGGAGCAAAGGCAUUUCCUUGUCACCAUUUCUGCGUUUCAGAGCGGAUGUAAAGCAUCCGCUCUGCUUGAUACUUAUAGAGCACACACCCUGAGCUCCAUAUAAAACACCGUAACAGCAUAUUGCUGCUAUUGAGGAGCUUGGGGGGAAGAUCAAAUCCUGUAUCACAACUUGUACAUUACUUUAACAGAUAUUUGUGUUUGAGUUCAACUAAUAUAUAUUUUCAUGUUAAAACUUACAUUCUGGGCCUAUUACGUAUUAUUACAAAUUGAUUAUUUAUUUAAUUAAAUUAUUUAAGAAUAGUAUUUGUUAUUACAUAUAUGAUACAUAUAUAUGUGAGCAUCAAAAAUGAAAAACAAUUCAAAUAAUUCUAAAUUAUGUAUAAAUGACCUGUUGGAGGUUGCAUGUCUUUUAUUACAUUUUUAGUUUUUUCAUAAAGCUGUGUUCUUUCAUCAAAAAAACACCAAACUCCUCCAAACUAUACGUAAUGCCCAUUGCGGUCCCGUCAUCCAUAAGCAAUAUGUUCUAUAUGAUGCAUCAUGGGCAUUCAUAGUGAAGUAGUGAAGGAUUCAUUUUUUGCCAAAUGCAAUAGCAAUAGCUUGUGUAUUUGACAAAUGAAGGUUUACCUGUAUUCGCUGAAUAGAAUUGAGUGUUACAUCUGUAUAUGACAUGCAACAUGCCAUAAGACGCCAGCAUCUUUCUAAACCCCACAUCUGUAUAAGUAAAUAAAAAGCCUGGAUUAUUUAAUUCAGCUGCUGCAAAGCAAUUUUUGUCUACUCACAGUUAUUGAUUGAAUUCAGAGAAAUGUUCUUGCAAAUAAGAGAGGUAAAGCACUAUUCUAUCAGGAAUGUUCAUCAUCAUUUCUUUCAGUUUUCUUAUAACAAGAAAGGGAAACAUUUCAAUAAUAAUAGUCAAUAAUAGCUUUUUAUUUAAUGGUUUAACUAGUGCACUCCUCUUCAGACUUUAAUGGGCUCUAUGUGACCCAUCAGCUAAAACUAGUUUGACGAUGCCACGCAAUUGUAAAUCUGGGUUUUGGAAGUUAAAAAUAAUAAUUUACAAAUAACAAUGGCAAAGAAAAAAAUAUAUCAAAAAGCAGCACUUUUAUUUAUCAGGUGGAGAAAUUAAGGGGUGACUUCAUCUCCUGUAUCAGUUUUAUAUUCACGCACCCAUGCAGACACACACACACACACACAUACACCUACACACAUGUCCUGGUCUCCUCCAUUGGUCCUUCCCAGCCCCCUUUCACUAAUCGGCUCUCGUUUUUCCACUCUUCCUCCUCCCACCCUCUUCUCUCCCUCCUCCCCGGCACUCAUGUCCGAAGGUGAUCAAAAUCCUCGUAUGGAGAAAUCCUGGUGAUCCAGCAGGGCCGGGCAGGAAAGGUCACGGAGAGAGUCUGUAAAAUGGAUGAAGCCUAAUGAUUAGCUCAACCUUUACCUAAUCAAUAAUCAUUUAUCCAACAAUAUUGCCGGCGGCCACAGUCCCAUUUGCCAUUAACCUCGGCCGUGAGGAAAGAGGCCGUAUUGUUUCCUGUGGCAGCUUUACGGCGCUCAGAUGAGUGGUAGGGGCCCGGGAUGGAGGAGUCUUGAGGUUGGAUCUCGAUGGCUCGGAUCCUAUUAAGGCACCGGAGGUAUUUUAGCGCCACAGUGUCGCAUAAUUACCAUCUUGAAUGACUGACUGAGACGCUGGCUGAGAUGAUGGCUGUCUACGCGGCAGAAGAGGACUGUAUUUUUAUGGAAGGACAUAACAAUGAAAGUCGUCUUACGCACAUCGUAUUAAGAUCUGCAUAUUGAAAUUGAGUUAAAAAUACAUAGGAGUGUAACUUUGAACUGGAAUCUUUUUUACCUCCAAGGAGCUUCAUUUUGCUUUAGUUUUUAGAAAGACAAUCUGACAACAAUAAUAUGUUUGAUUUAGCUUUUAUUGCUUUUUACAUCUGCAGCCUCUUCUGCAACAUCUCUCAGACGCACACACACACACACACACACACACACACACACAUGCAGCGGCAGCAGAGCCGCCUGUCUCCUCUGUGUCUCUCCAUGAUGCCAUCUUCAUCAUAACCUCUCCCUCUUUAUUGCCUUUAAUGACUUCCCCUCUCCUUUCAUUAAUUCUUUAUCGAUUCCUCCUGACGUCGCCUGAAUUAUUUUCCAAUUACAGCAAAUAAAAGAAAGGGGAAAGCCACUGCAAAUACUUGCCUGCAUAUGUGUGUGUCUGUGUGGGAGGUGUGUGUUCGUGUGCACGGUUUUGUACCUACAACAACAUUUAACUCACUGCACACAGACAGUGUAUACCUGCACACAUCCACAAGCGGUUUAGUUUCUUUCUUUAUCAUAUAAAUACACACUUUAACACACUCUUACACGCACACACAGGCAGAAGAGGCGGAAUGUGAAUGUGACAGCAGAGAGAGAGUGGUAAAAGGUCAUAGGAAGCUAAUGGCUCCAGCUAUCUUACAUGCAAUAAGUUCAGACACUUUGGACAGGUGUGUGUGUGUGUGUGUGUGUGUGUGU